rnacentral:rRNA from 1 species
UACAGAGGAUGCAAGCGUUAUCCGGAAUGAUUGGGCGUAAAGCGUCUGUAGGUGGCUUUUUAAGUCCGCCGUCAAAUCCCAGGGCUCAACUCUGGACAGGCGGUGGAAACUACCAAGCUGGAGUACGGUAGGGCGUGCGGAACUUCCGGUGGAGCGGUGAAAUGCGUAGAUAUCGAGAGGAACACCUGCGGCGAAGGCGGGUUGCUGGGCUGACACUGACGCUGAUGCGCGAAAGCCAGGGGAGCGAACGGG